GACAGAGGGUGCAAACGUUGUUCGGAAUUACUGGGCGUAAAGCGCGUGUAGGCGGCCCUGCAAGUCGGAUGUGAAAUCCCACGGCUCAACCGUGGAAGUGCAUUCGAAACUGCAGGGCUAGAGUCCUGGAGAGGAAGGUGGAAUGCUUGGUGUAGAGGUGAAAUUCGUAGAUAUCGAGCGGAACACCGGUGGCGAAGGCGGCCUUCUGGACAGUGACUGACGCUGAGACGCGAAAGCGUGGGGAGCAAACAGG
rnacentral:rRNA from 1 species